rnacentral:rRNA from 1 species
AUUGAACGCUGGCGGCAGGCCUAACACAUGCAAGUCGAACGAGUGGCGGACGGGUGAGUAAUGUCUGGGAAACGGCCUGAUGGAGGGGGAUAACUACUGGAAACGGUAGCUAAUACCGCAUACCACAGGAUGUGCCCAGAUGGGAUUAGCUAGUAGGUGGGGUAAAGGCUAACCUAGGCGACGAUCCCUAGCUGGUCUGAGAGGAUGACCAGCCACACUGGACUUGGUACACGCUCCGGCCUCCUACGGGGGGCAGCAGUGGGGAAUAUUGGACAAUGGGCGAAAGCCUGCUGCAGACCUGCCGCGUGGAUGAAGAAGGCCUUCGGGUUGUAAGGUACUUUCAGCGGGGAGGCGUUACCCGCAGAAGAAGCACCGGCUAACUCCGUGCCAGCAGCCGCGGUAAUUC